GGCCUGGUCGUGUAAUGGUAGCACGCUCCUACUACGUUCUCCUGGGUCCUAGACCUUCAGUUGAGAGUAAGUCGCAUUGGGAUUGAGGAGUGGGUUCGAAUCCCACACAGGUCA